GAUGAACGCUGGCGGCGUGCCUAAUACAUGCAAGUCGAGCGAACAGACGAGGAGCUUGCUCCUCUGACGUUAGCGGCGGACGGGUGAGUAACACGUGGAUAACCUACCUAUAAGACUGGGAUAACUUCGGGAAACCGGAGCUAAUACCGGAUAAUAUAUUGAACCGCAUGGUUCAAUAGUGAAAGACGGUUUUGCUGUCACUUAUAGAUGGAUCCGCGCCGCAUUAGCUAGUUGGUAAGGUAACGGCUUACCAAGGCAACGAUGCGUAGCCGACCUGAGAGGGGGGGGGGCCCAACGGGGAAUGGAGCCCGGCCCCACCCCCACCGGGGGGGAGCAAGGAGGGAUUUUCCAGAAAGGGGGAAAGCCCGGAGGGGGCAACGCCGGGGGAGGGAGAAAGUUUUCGGUACCGUAAAAUUUUUUUAUGGGGAAAAAAAAAAUGUGAAAUAAAUUUUGCCCGUUUGGAGGUACCAAAACAAGAAGCCCAGGGCAAACUCGGUC
rnacentral:rRNA from 1 species